ensembl:processed_transcript
CAUGUGCCCAGUGUGAUGAGAGAAGCCAGGAGCAGGCAGCUUUCUGGCAGGCUGGGCUCUCCGGGUGGCCCUGCCUCCUCGCUGCAGCUGCAUCUCACCCCUUGCCUGAUCCUUCGUACCUACAAUGUCCUGGACAUGAAGAACACCACGUGCCAGGACCUUCAGAUAGAAGUGACGGUCACAGGCUCUGUGGAAUAUACAAGGGAUGCCAUUGAAGACUACGAAGAGGACUAUGACAUGCCAGCUGCAGAUGACCCCAGCGUCCCCUCACAGCCUGUGACUCCCCUGCAGCUGUUUGAGGGUCGUCGGAGCCGCCGCAGGAGGGAGGCCCCCAAGGUGGCCGAAGAGCAGGAGUCCAGAGUUCAGUACACAGUGUGUAUCUGGCGCAGUGGCAAGCUGGGGCUGUCUGGCAUGGCCAUCGCAGACAUCACCCUCCUGAGUGGAUUCCACGCCCUGAGGGCUGACCUGGAGAAGCUGACCUCCCUCUCUGACCGUUACGUGAGUCACUUUGAGACUGACGGGCCCCAUGUCCUGUUGUACUUUGACUCG